rnacentral:tRNA from 1 species
GCGGGUAUAGCUCAAUUGGUAGAGUUCUAGCCUUCCAAGCUAGCGAAGUGGGUUCGAAUCCCACUAUCCGCU